UACGAAGGGGGCUAGCGUUGCUCGGAAUCACUGGGCGUAAAGGGUGCGUAGGCGGGUCUUUUAAGUCAGGGGUGAAAUCCUGGAGCUCAACUCCAGAACUGCCUUUGAUACUGAAGAUCUUGAGUUCGGGAGAGGUGAGUGGAACUGCGAGUGUAGAGGUGAAAUUUCGUAGAUAUUCGCAAGAACACCAGUGGCGAAGGCGGCUCACUGGCCCCGAUACUGACGCUGAGGCACGAAAAGCGUGGGG
rnacentral:rRNA from 1 species